UAAGAGUGCAGGAGAGCCGUUUAGUGC
rnacentral:sRNA from 1 species